AUAAUUUCUUCUGGAUUUCUAAGAAUAUCUCCGCGUUUCUUGCAUCGGAGGAUACUCGCUUUCCAUUCCUACGUGUAUCGUUGAUAUAAACCUUCCAAUUACCUCUUCAAUUACCUCUCGCGCUCCUGGGGAUCUUGGAUGCCAGAGACGUUGCAUAGGAGGCAUCUCUCUCUUCGGAUUUCCCAUUGCGCUUCAUUCCUCUCGUUUCAAGCGGGCUUAUGGCUACCACCUUUGCCGAAAAUCAGUGGCCGCUCUUCAUCUUCUUUGAAAUGGUUCUUUCAUAGGGGUUUACGACAUACGGAAAUUAAGCACGGGCUCCCUCGAUCUUAACUUUGACUCCCGUCUCUGCUUUCCUUCUGGAUGGAUCUCAUUAGUGCAUCAGUUAUUACUUUUGCUACUUGCGUUCUGCAACAAAGGCACGAUGGACCACCUCUUACAUGAUGAGAACAGGGCCACUGCCAGAUGAUCAUAUCUCACUUGAGAACCGGGACUGGAAGGAGGCUGAGAGCAAAGGCCUGUUAUUAUCGAAGUUCUCGGCCUCCCUUGAGUCCUGGCUCUCGAGUUGGCUAAUCAGGCGAAGCUGAUUUCUCCCAACCAAGGAUUGGAGAACCGCGCGUUGACAGGGAAUCAAUAUAGCUGAUUAUACGAAUUAUUACUUGUGGUGUGUUUUUCCUCUCGUUGAGAACUAUUCGAUAUUCCUUCACGAGGCCCGCUUUCGACGCAUCACAUGGAGAGAAAUUGCGAGAUAAAAGAGUCCUGAGUAUCCGCAUCCGUAAAUAAACGAAACAUUAAAGUUUUGUUCUUCUAGUUUUGAAAUAAUCGAAGGACUGUCUUAGGGUCUCCCACCAGUAUUGGUCUUGGUGAUUAUCACCUUCAAUUAGUCAAUGUAAUCAAGUUCCAGGAGUUUCCAUGAUCUGUAUCUUUGAUGACCUGUGUUUAAUAUAAUUUGCCUUGGUCG
rnacentral:precursor_RNA from 1 species